UACGUAGGGUGCAAGCGUUGUCCGGAAUUAUUGGGCGUAAAGAGCUCGUAGGCGGUUUGUCGCGUCUGCUGUGAAAACUCGGGGCUUAACCCCGGGCCUGCAGUGGGUACGGGCAGACUAGAGUGCGGUAGGGGAGACUGGAAUUCCUGGUGUAGCGGUGAAAUGCGUAGAGAUGUGGAGGAACACCGAUGGCGAAGGCAGCCCCCUGGGCUGAGAUUGACGCUCAGGCACGAAAGCGUGGGGAGCAAACAGG
rnacentral:rRNA from 1 species